rnacentral:lncRNA from 1 species
AACUGAUCAGAGGAAUUUGCUAUUUGAACCUGUAAAUGAGUCUUCCAUAAUAGCCAUAUUCUCCCAUUAACAGCCUUUGCAUAAUUACAUUGUAAGAUCCAACCCUUUGCAACAUUAUCAAAUAUCUUCUUGAAUUUAUGUUCCUUAACUCUGGUUUCAAGAAUUCCUAUUACAUCUACUUUAUUAACAGUAAGGAAUUGUUUCAACUCCUUCUGCUUAUGAGGCUGGUUAAGCCCCCUAAUGUUCCAUGUGGCUACAAUCAUGGUUCAGUAGGAGUUAAGCUGUAAGAGGGUCCCGGAUCAAACUGUUGCACCCUGCUAUCCAUAUCAUUUAUGAUAGCUUUCCCUCUAUUACCAGUGUCAACCACCUGUUCACUAUUACUGGUGAUAGCAAUAGUUACUUCACUUAAUUGCCCUUCUGGAUUCAUAAGUUCAUUUUGUUGCAAGGGACUAGUUGCUUGACCCUCAUUAACCAUGUUUGAAUCCUGA